rnacentral:rRNA from 1 species
AUUGAACGCUGGCGGCAGGCCUAACACAUGCAAGUCGAGCGGAUGACGGGAGCUUGCUCCUCGAUUCAGCGGCGGACGGGUGAGUAAUGCCUAGGAAUCUGCCUGGUAGUGGGGGAUAACGUUUCGAAAGGAACGCUAAUACCGCAUACGUCCUACGGGAGAAAGCAGGGGACCUUCGGGCCUUGCGCUAUCAGAUGAGCCUAGGUCGGAUUAGCUAGUUGGUGGGGUAAUGGCUCACCAAGGCGACGAUCCGUAACUGGUCUGAGAGGAUGAUCAGUCACACUGGAACUGAGACACGGUCCAGACUCCUACGGGAGGCAGCAGUGGGGAAUAUUGGACAAUGGGCGAAAGCCUGAUCCAGCCAUGCCGCGUGUGUGAAGAAGGUCUUCGGAUUGUAAAGCACUUUAAGUUGGGAGGAAGGGCAGUAAGUUAAUACCUUGCUGUUUUGACGUUACCGACAGAAUAAGCACCGGCUAACUCUGUGCCAGCCGCCGCUGUAACAC